ACUCAAAUGAAUAGACGGGGACCCGCACAACCAGUGGAGCGUGUGGUUUAAUUCGAGACAAAGCGAAAAACCUCACCAAGGCUUGACAUGCUAGAGUUCUAUUCUGAUGAAAGUCGGAAAAUCCGUAAGGAGACUAGCACAGGUGCUGCAUGGCUGUCGUCAGCUCGUGCCGUGAGGUGUUCCCUUAAGUGGGGAAACGAGUGCAACCCUUGUCUAAUGUUAAAUUAUUCAUUAGAGACUGCCCCGAUUUUUCGGGGAGGAAGGAAAGGCGGACGUCAAGUCAGCAUGGCCCUUAUGCCUUGGGCUACACACACCCUACAAUGGCGAAGAACAAAGAGUUGCAAGCUCGCAAGGGUAAGCUAAUCUCAGAAAUUUCGUCUCAGUUCGGAUUGGGGUCUGAAACUCGACCCCAUGAAGUCGGAAUUGGUAGUAAUCGCGGAUCAGCGGGCCGCGGUGAAUACGUUAUCGGGUCUUGCACACACCGCCCGU
rnacentral:rRNA from 1 species